rnacentral:miRNA from 1 species
GACCAUCAAUAAGUGAAUUAUAAGUUAUUGUAUCAGGAAUAAUAUUUUUGCGUUGCAUGUCUUCAAAAAGAUUGAUGGCUUCAUCUAUCAUUUUCUUCUUACAUAAUCCAUCAAUCAUGAUAUUA